rnacentral:tRNA from 1 species
GCUGAAAUAGCUCAGUCGGUAGAGCGACGCACUCGUAAUGCGUAGGUCGAGGGUUCGAUUCCCUUUUUCAGCUCCA